UCCCAUUAUAUGUCCUUUUUUUAAGGUGUGUGACCUUCCAGCUACAUUCUGAUGUCUGACCCUCCUCCAGCUGCUUUCUGUCAAGCUUCUGUUUGGCAGAAAGCUCUGUGUGUGGAUUGUAAAGGAAAUAGCAAAGAAAUGAUCCACCAGCAUUCCCAGAUGUUGAGGACAUUACAGCAAAGGAGAUAAUUCCAUCCCACUAUGUACUAUAGAUAAGCAACAGCUUAUCUAAUUGGGACAGAGGCAGCCUGUCCAGAUCCACUGCUUCUAAAUGGUUACACAAGGACCCCUCUUGUGGGGGCCCUGGUACCCCUGUCAGGCCUCUGCUUAAAGAAUUAGAGGAGGAACCAGCCCAUGGAGAACCUUGCACAUAAAACAAGUUAAUUUUAGAUUUAUUAAGUUAUAAAAACUAAGAAUGUUCUUUUUUUCUAGGUUGUUUGAAUGAUGAAUUGUUGAUGGUUUCUAGUCUGUUGUAGAGCGUGAUUCUAUUAUUUCAUGAUUUUUUUUUUCUCUUGUACCAACUAGUAAUGUAUUAUUGUAAU